UAAAUUGAUAAUAGUUUAAAUUUGUAUGCAUUUUGUUUGUAACAUUUCCUUACUUUGAUUUAACAAAGUAUCACAAUGGCCAAUCUUAUGUAAAUGUGAUUUGUUGAUUGAGGUUUCCACGUAUUUUUGAAUCAAACUGAUUUACCAAUCAUUUUUUUAGUAGGGGAUGAAAGCUUAACGGAACAAAACAGAAGAACGCUGAAAUAGAGCACAAACAUCUCAGAUAAAAUGGAUCUAAACCUAAUGGGAGAAACCCAAGAGACAAAAAUCCAACUCAUCAUUAUGACGUAAAUCCCAAACGUGUGAUAUCUCGUUCACGUGACACCAAACCGACUAACUGGAGACUAUGCAAGAGCAAUUUAUGACAGAGUCGCUCUCAAAGGUUGUUGCGCAUACGAAGGAGCAAAUGAACCGGUUUCUACACCUAUAUAAUAACCAUUGUACACCAUCUUCAAUAUCAACCUAAUUACAAAUAUAACGAUUAAACAAACAUAUUCGUCCCCAU
rnacentral:lncRNA from 1 species